rnacentral:rRNA from 1 species
CAGUAGCCGCGGGAAAACAGAGGGUGCAAGCGUUAAUCGGAAUUACUGGGCGUAAAGCGCGCGUAGGUGGUUUGUUAAGUUGGAUGUGAAAGCCCCGGGCUCAACCUGGGAACUGCAUCCAAAACUGGCAAGCUAGAGUAUGGUAGAGGGUGGUGGAAUUUCCUGUGUAGCGGUGAAAUGCGUAGAUAUAGGAAGGAACACCAGUGGCGAAGGCGACCACCUGGACUGAUACUGACACUGAGGUGCGAAAGCGUGGGGAGCAAACAGGAUUAGAUACCCCAGUAGUCCCUGUCUCUUAUAC